rnacentral:antisense_RNA from 1 species
AGUUAAAUUGGCUAUUUGUAAUCUUUAGUUUUUCUUCUCUAGCUUUCUUGAUCAUACUGCUACAUACAUGGCAAGCUAUUUCAUUAAACCCAUACUCAUCAAAAUAUUUUGCUUUUUCUAACCCAAACUCCACAGAAUCUUUUGGGUUAAAUCGAGAUAAUCUGCUAAUCAGUAGUUGAUAAGCAUCAUAGGAAUCCCCUUUUUCUAGACGUGAUUUGACCACAUUCCAAAUUUUAUCCAUUGCUUAUUAAUAAUUCCAAUUCUUUCAAGUAAUUUCCCUAGAUUUAGUGCUAGUUUUACUUCUAAGGGAAUUGGUAGCUAUUGUAAACAAUCCCAAUAAUUUUUAUUUCGAUU